GACGGAGGGCGCAAGCGUUGUUCGGAAUUACUGGGCGUAAAGCGCGCGCAGGCGGGCAGGUAAGUCUGGAGUGAAAUUCCGGGGCUCAACUCCGGAGCUGCUUUGGAUACUGUCUUUCUAGGGACCGGUAGAGGCCGGUGGAAUUCCCGGUGUAGCGGUGGAAUGCGUAGAUAUCAUGAGGAAUACCAGAGGCGAAGGCGGCUACCUGGACAAUUGCUGACGCUCAGGCACGAAAGCGUGGGGAGCAAAAGGG
rnacentral:rRNA from 1 species